rnacentral:rRNA from 1 species
UACGAGGGUGCAAGCGUUAAUCGGAAUCACUGGGCGUAAAGGGCGCGUAGGUGGUGGCUUAAGCGUGCGGUGAAAGCUCGGGGCUCAACCCCGAGUCGGCCGUGCGAACUGGGCUCACUGGAGCAUAGUAGAGGCAGGUGGAAUUCCGGGUGUAGCGGUGGAAUGCGUAGAGAUCCGGAAGAACACCGGUGGCGAAGGCGGCCUGCUGGGCUAUGGCUGACACUGAGGCGCGACAGCGUGGGGAGCAAACAGGG